AUGGCAUGGUGUGGGCAUUUACGGAUUAGAUUUUUAAGACUCUCCCAAGUCUCGUGGAACAUUUCUCCAUCCAUCUGGACAAAACUAGUAAUAGCUUUUCUAAUCU